GAAGGGAAAGAGAAGCGUCGCUCGACCUGUGGACGCGUCACAUAAUCUUCGCUGGACGAUUUUAGUUUUGACAUCGAUGUGGCUGCAUCUUUCUUCCGGAGUGGUAAUACCAGUACCACUUUGAGUCGACGACCAUUCGGCUCAAGCUCAUCAACCGGCGCCCGAUCAAGCGCAGUUCCAUCCCAUCCAGAGCCUUUACGAGAAGAUUCUAUUAGAAAUCGGGAGAACCUGGUGGUCUCAAACCGAGAAAUUCGACAGUUGUUCGACACAAUCAAAGAACUGGGGGAUAUAGUAAAGCGGCAAAAUGCCAAACUAGACAGUUUGAGCGUGGAACUGGAAAACGCUUGUAAAGAAGUGGCUGAGGUGAAGACCGAACUACAGACUGUACGACACAAGCUCGAUCGCCAACCUCAGUCGACUGAGAAGGAGAAUAUCCACCGUGGGCCUGUUCCAAAGCAACUAAAGGGUGAUGUGCACUUGUUGCACAACAAACAAGAAGUUGAACUUUAGUUUUGUGGAAGUGAAGGCAUUGAUAGUGCCCACAACAGUGCUGUUCGAGGAUUUCUUUGUAAGGAACUGGAAAAGGAAGACAAUGGCUAUGAAAAGUCAACUAUCAAGUGUGCUGUGUCAAGAUAUUAUGAAACGAAAAGACAACAAUACCUCGACAAUCUACCUGACAGAAGAAAUAAAGCAGAGAAGACUGCUCUGCAACAAAUUGAUGCAAAUUUCAUGAGUGGCAAGGAGAAUGGUGAGGGCAGUCAAGAGGAUGUGUGGGUUGUGAGGUCACCACUGUGGCGUAGUCCACAGCUAUCUCCUCUCUUAAAGAGACUUCAGGAGAAAAUUGACAACCAGCCAUCUGCCUCCUCAAGCUCACAUCCACAAAAUAAAAGAGUAGAGGGAGAGCCAUCCACACACAGUCCACCAACUUCCUCACCUGCAUUGGCACUCCUUCCUGGUGAUAGACAGAGCCCUGAGAGGUGUCCUUCUCCAAAUAGGAUUCCUCCCUCCCCACAGUCCCCACAACAUUGCAGUGGUGAUGAAAGCGAUGGGGAACCCUUGCAUAUGUUGGACACCAGCCCUGUCACAAUCCGAAGGAGGCCAAACAGAUGGCUACAGUCACUGUGGGACUAAAUUAAUGCCUAAGUGUUCUUUAUUUACAUAACUUGUAUGUUUUGCCUUCUGUUUUUAAUUCAGUUCAUUUGACAGAAUGGCAAGGUGGUUUAUGGGGAUUAGGGUGAAUGGUUCCUUUUUAACCCCAACUCACGAAAUGUUUUUUUUUUGCAUAUUGCAUUAGCUGGUUUCACAAACUGAAAAAUUAACAAAUGAUGCCACUUUCUCACUCUCUCUCUCAUCUUGAUUGGAACAUAAUCUGCCAGCUAUUGCAAACAGUUCAAAAAUCUGUGGGAAGAAUCCUUAAAUAAUAUAGAAUUUUGCAGUGAUCAACUCCAUUUAUUGUUGAAGUAGUAUCAGAUGUACUGAAGACCUUUGUAAAGAAUGCUACAGUUUUGGAUAUGCCACAGUUAAUUUUAUUGGAAUGAUUUCAAACAAGCUUCUUGAAUUAUUGUGCUCUUCAAACAACUUUUAUGUUUAAGAAUUGGCUUUAAAAAGGCACUUUCCAGCUCAGUAAAUAACCAGGGGCCACUAAGUUGUUAACAUGGUAUGACUUGCUUAGAAUUUAUUGUAGUUUUUGAUAAAAUUUUAUUACUCUCUAAUAUUAGAGUAUAGACAUUUCUUAUUGUUAUUCUUGUCUUCAUAUCUGACUGAUGGAAAAAUGUCUUUUUAUCAUACUAAAAUUAUUGUCGUGGUGUAAUGAUUUAUGUAAAUAUUGAAAAUGUUGCUUUCAUCCAUGUCAAGCAUUAAGCACUUUUAGCUUAGUAUAUUUAAUUAUUACACACAAUCUAAAUUUUUUCCCUUUUUGUGCAUAAUGUUAGACUUAGUUGUUAGUCAUCACAUGAUGAAAUAGAUUCUGUAAAUUGGCCAU